rnacentral:tRNA from 1 species
GCCGGGGUAGCUCAAUUGGUAGAGCAGCUGCCUUGUAAGCAGCAGGUUGAGAGUUCGAGUCUCUUCUCCGGCU